rnacentral:rRNA from 1 species
GGGCCCAUUAUGUCCGGAGGACUUCUUAGAGGGACAAGCGGUGUUCAGCCGCAUGAAGUUGAGCAAUAACAGGUCUGUGAUGCCCUUAGAUGUCCAGGGCUGCACGCGCGCUACACUGGAGGAAUCAGCGUGCUGUAACCAUUGCCGAAAGGUAUUGGUAACCCCUUGAAAAUCCUCCGUGAUCGGGAUCGGGAAUUGCAAUUAUUUCCCUUGAACGAGGAAUUCCUAGUAAGUGUGAGUCGUCAGCUCACGUUGAUUACGUCCCUGCCCUUUGUACACACCGCCCGUCGCUGCCCGGGACUGAGCCGUUUCGAGAAAAGCGGGGACUGCUGUUUCGAUACCUUUCGGGGUGGAGAUUCUUUGGUGGAAACCGCCUUAAUCGCAGUGGCUUGAACCGGGCAAAAGUCGUAACAAGGUUUCCGUAGGUGAACCUGCGGAAGGAUCAUUAUCGAGCUAAGACUAAAAGUCUCCGAACGUGCAUGCCCUCCAUAUGCGCGUAUACGUGAGCCGCACAGUGAGCUGCACACAUGUGGUGGUGGUGGCCGUCAGCCGUGUUUUUUUUGGCAGACAAUGGUCUGUAGCUUGCUGUGUGUCGAGGGGGGAUAGGUGACGUAUUGGGCUAGUUAGAAAGGUACGUCGUGAGCGCCUUUCCUCUCGUUAUUGGCAAAAACGGUAUCCAUUUGGUGUCUACACCCUACCUAGCUACUGCCUGGACCGUCGGUAGCUAUCAAAGGUGGGGAUAAAGCUCCUCGUCUUUACGGCGAGUCGAGUAGACUUAAUGAGUCUCAGCGAGGAGGCCACCAAAACCCAAACACAACCAGUCUUUUGUUUGAAAUGUUGUGAAGGUACUUCCCUCGUGUUGUGCCUUUGAAACUGAGUAUUAAUCUUAGCGGUGGAUCACUCGGUUCGUGGAUCGAUGAAGAACGCAGCUAGCUGCGAUAACUAGUGCGAAUUGCAGACACAUUGAGCACUAAGAAUUCGAACGCACAUUGCGCCAUCGGGUUCAUUCCCGUUGGCACGUCUGGCUGAGGGUCGAAUUUGAAUAUCAAACAUCCGUGUGUUUUCCAACUCAUGGUGUAUUCGGCGAGCUAUGAUGGUGUUGUUGGCAAUGCUGCGUGUGUGUGUUGCGGCCUCUUUUAAGGAGAGGUCACUUCAUGUGCUCGAGGCAUGGCCGACGCGCCGACAUACCUUGCUAAGGCUUUGUGCCAUAUAUCGCUCGUAAUCAUUUGCUCCAUGCGAGGCGAUGAUGGCCGUCAAGUGUCGCUCUCUUAACCAUAGAUACGGCUCCGAGCACGUGUUUGCCAAUUGGCUAUCGGUUUGGGGUGCCCGUAUCAGAAUUGCUGGAAAUGGAAGAGAGGGUGAUGCUAGGUUGCUGUCACUAUGUUUUGACCUCAGCUCAGUCGUGACUACCCGCUGAAUUUAAGCAUAUAACUAAGCCGGAGGAAAAAGAACUAAGGGGAUCCUCUACAGUCGACCUGCAGGCAUGCAAAGCUUGGCGUAAUCAAUGGCAUAGCUGUUUCCUGUGUGAAAUUGUUAUCGCUCACAAGUUCACACAAGAUACGAGCCGGAAGCAUAAAGU